GAAUAGAUACCCAGGUAGUCCACGCCGUAAACUAUGGAUGCUAGCUGUUGGCCGUAUCGACCCGGUCAGUAGCGAAGCUAACGCGUUAAGCAUCCCGCCUGUGGAGUACGAGCGCAAGCUUAAAACAUAAAGGAAUUGACGGGGACCCGCACAAGCGGUGGAGCGUGUUGUUUAAUUCGAUGAUAAGCGAAGAACCUUACCCAGGCUUGACAUCCUUGGAAGGCCUCCGAAAGGAGACUGUGCCUUUUAGGAACCAAGUGACAGGUGUUGCAUGGCCGUCGUCAGCUCGUGUCGUGAGAUGUUUGGUUAAGUCCAUCAACGAGCGCAACCCUUAUAGUUAGUUGAAUUUUUCUAGCUAGACUGCCCUGGCAACAGGGAGAAGGGGGGGAUGAUGUCAGGUCAGUAUUACCCUUAGUCUGGGGCUACAAACACGCUACAAUGGCCGGUACAAAGGGCAGCCAACCCGCGAGGGGAGCUAAUCCCAUCAAAGCCGGUCUCAGUUCGGAUUGCAGGCUGAAACUCGCCUGCAUGAAGCCGG
rnacentral:rRNA from 1 species